rnacentral:rRNA from 1 species
CCUACGGGAGGCAGCAGUGGGGAAUAUUGCACAAUGGGCGCAAGCCUGAUGCAGCCAUGCCGCGUGUGUGAAGAAGGCCUUCGGGUUGUAAAGCACUUUCAGUCAGGAGGAAAGGUUAGUAGUUAAUACCUGCUAGCUGUGACGUUACUGACAGAAGAAGCACCGGCUAACUCCGUGCCAGCAGCCGCGGUAAUACGGAGGGUGCGAGCGUUAAUCGGAAUUACUGGGCGUAAAGCGUACGCAGGCGGUUUGUUAAGCGAGAUGUGAAAGCCCCGGGCUCAACCUGGGAACUGCAUUUCGAACUGGCAAACUAGAGUGUGAUAGAGGGUGGUAGAAUUUCAGGUGUAGCGGUGAAAUGCGUAGAGAUCUGAAGGAAUACCGAUGGCGAAGGCAGCCACCUGGGUCAACACUGACGCUCAUGUACGAAAGCGUGGGGAGCAAACAGGAUUAGAUACCCUGGUAGUCCACGCCGUAAACGAUGUCUACUAGAAGCUCGGAACCUCGGUUCUGUUUUUCAAAGCUAACGCAUUAAGUAGACCGCCUGGGGAGUACGGCCGCAAGGUUAAAACUCAAAUGAAUUGACGGA